GCUCCGGGCUGGGGGCGGUUUGGUGCGGGCCCUUCCCAGCCGGGCUGCCCCUUCCCCAGCCCGGCAUCCCCGCUGUUCACUCCCCAUAAAUGAGAACGGAGCUCUUGAACACCUUUAGGGCUCGCCUGUCAUUUUCCUCCGUGCACAGAUUUCCUGUUUUGAAAACUAGGCUGAUAGCUUUGUUGGAGCAAAUAGUAGAAAUGGGGUUCUGUGCUGGCUGCGUUUGGUUGUUGAGGCUCGUUGCCGGUUGGGGAGAGCGCUUGUGAAUGAUUGAUUCACUGAGCCCUCUGUAACUUAGAGCUGCAGCAUUUGGAGGAAACAGCAGGGACAAAAUGGACAGUUAAUAAAAGGAACAACUGUAUGCUGCCUGAUCUAGAGGGCACUUGCUGCCCUUCAGGAACUUUCCUCCUCACAUACGCUUCUUUAUACGGCAAAUCUUUAUCUUCUGUCUCUUUUUUUUCCCCUACCUUCGUCUGGGAAAUGAAACUGGAACAGACAUUUCUGGAAAUGAUGGACUUGAUUGGUGCAUUUGGGAAGAUGCGAUUCGCAGUCAAAAUGAAAAUUGAAAUUCGUCCCUUUUUUUUUUUUUCUUCGUAGUUCAGUAUCUGCAUUUUACGUUUUAUGAUUCUUCAGCUCUUUACACAACCACGCUUGUUUGGUCUGUUGUUUCUGAAUCCCUCAAGUGAUGGCAUCCAUGGCAUCAGAUUGCCGAGAGGUACCCCAGGUACAUCCAGUGUAGAGAUGCAGCUGGGGGUAUCCAGUACUUCGUAACAGAGAGAUGUAAACAUGCAUUAUUUUCCUCUGACAAUCCCUUUCCGUGCUUGGAAGAAGCAGAGCUGUUGUCAGUGAAAUCUGGAGUUUUGGGAGACCUUCUGUUUUAGGGGUUGGCCAAAAAUAAAUUCUGGGAUGAGGAUUCUUUGCUUUUUUCUCCUAGUCAUGCAGGAUGGAUGAGAAGCUGUGAAGCCUUUAGUCAUAACGCUCUGGUCCUGCGUUUUCCUUUUAAUAAAGCAUCCAGUGGGAGAAUGUGACAUAAUUGGUUUCUUGGAUUAAGAGAUCUUGAAAUGGCUGGUGCUACAGAGAGAAGAUGAACCUCUCCAUCAGGGUUGUGGUUUACGUACAGUAAUAUGGUGACAAAAUCAUGUUGUUAUUGCAUGGUAAUCUCAUAUUUCUCUUGCAAGAAAAUGCUCUCUACGUGGUUAUGCUUCAAAACAGGCACUUUUGAGUCUUGUCAGUGGCACAGAAUCUUAAAUCUCUCCUUUCCUUGCAUUGCAUAAUCUGAACGUUAUUCUCCCACAGCAGCAGAAAUGAUGGAAGAAUUGCAUAGCCUGGACCCACGAAGGCAGGAACUACUGGAGGCCAGGUUUACUGGAGUUGGUGUUGCUAAGGUUGGCGCUUCAAAUUCCCUCCCUACCCCCCCAAGUCUCCGUCCGUCAUGCUCCGCACUGGCAUUGGGUCCAUUAAAUAGCGAGUCUUCCAACCAGAGCUUAUGCAGCGUGGGUUCUCUCAGUGAUAAAGAACUGGAGUAUUGUUUAACAGACUCCUGAGAAAAAACAGAAUGACCAGCGGAAUAGAAAAAGGAAAGCAGAAGCAUAUGAGACCAGUCAAGGAAAAGGCACUCCUAGAGGACAUAAAAUUAGUGACUAUUUUGAGUUUGCUGGGGGAAGCGGCCCAGGAACCAGUCCUGGUAGAAGUGUGCCACCAGUUGCCAGAUCAUCACCGCAGCAUUCCUUAUCCAACCCCUUACCAGUAAGUGUUCUCCUGGGGAUGGUGUGGGUGGCACAUUGCUUCUGUUGGUGGCCGUGCUUCAGGCAGGUGAUAAAAUGUUCUGAACAGGAAGGAAAGGUCUCUUGGUAAGUGGUUUCACUUGGUCUUUAAUCGCUUCUCUUUGUGGUUUUUUGUUUGUUGGUUUUGUAUUGUGUUGUUGUGCUUUGUUUUUUAUAGCUGAAACUGGGUUUGGGCACCAAAGCUGAAUGCUUAGGAUCCUGCAGCAGUUGUUAGUCCAGCAAAUGAUGUCACUAUCUGAACUUAAAGCAUGCACACAGUCUGUAUUUUUAUGUGCUGUGUGGAUACAGAUGGCUUGCUGUCCUUAAUAAAAGAAGGAACUGGUUUAAUUGCUGUUACCUUGCACUCUAGUGUGGCUCAUGAACUUCUGCAUGAAGUUGGGAGUAUCAUGUAUGCUUGUGUAGCACCAGUACAGUGAUAUUUCUGAUCUUGAUUUCACCCUUUGGGUCUAAGGAAAGAUGUGCAUACCAUCGUAAUAUUGGGAAAAUCUUUUCCUUCUGUCUGUGCAUGUGGUUUGUGAGGAGCAUUAGCAAAAGCUUGCAAAGAGAUGUGUAUACAAGCACAUCUGUUGGUAUUUUUUGUUUAAAUAAUUCAAUUUUGCUGUCUGAGCAUUUCUGCACAAUCUGAAUAUGAAGGAGUAACCAGUAUUUUAAGCUGUUUUUGCACAAUCUGAAGAAAUUUCUUUCAACUAGCAAAGCAGCAUUCAGAGGCCGUGGUAUUUGAUCUCUAGUUUUGAACAUUGCCAUCACCCCUCUUUAAAAUGUUUCAGUAUUUGUUGAGUGUCACUGAAGCACAGAGCACUGUGGGAGAGGUUAGUACCCCGAAAACCAAAUGCAAAGACUUCACUGAUUACAUUAUUCUGCAGAGACCUUUGCACAUUUCAUGAAUGUGUACUGAACUAAAUCCCAGCUCUGAAUUCAAUAUAUGUUACUAGAUACUGAAACUCUGCAGUGCUGCUUUUAGGGUGAGCUUCAGCUGUGCUUCUAGAUGUCUUCAAUGUCUAUAAGUACAAAAUGUAUCUAUAAUUGAUCAUCCUUGUCUUAUUAAUUCACUAAUACUCCUCCUUAAAAAGAAGUUAAUGAAAGAAAGAAUACCUCCAAAAGUAGGGAGAGCUCUUCGUUCCAACAGCUGAAAUACCCUACAAGUGUUUAUAAUGGGACUACAUGAGUCUUCCUUUGCUUUUCUUCUUCUCUGCUUGUAUAUAUUGAGUAGGUAAAAGUUUGAACAAAACAUUUCUCACGUGGUGAAGGCUGAUAGUACAGUUAGUUUGAGCUAGGUCAGUUUGUCUCUCUGCUUGAGCAGGUGCUCUUUGUGUUUCUUAUCUUCUCUUCUUUACUCUUGCAGCUAAACUUGCAAUGUUUGCAUAUUCAUAACAAACUAUUACGUGCAUUUGUAAGAUCUAUCAUCUUCUUACAAACUGAAUACCAACGGUUUGAGCUAAGCCCUAAAAAUGGGGGGAUGAAUGGAAACUGGAGGAGAUGGAAUAUCUUAUCCAUUGCAGAUGUCAGUGUGGUCUAGGAAGAGAGCGGAGUGUUAAAAUGUCUUUCACAGCGAGAUGAACCUGCUCCAAACCUGGGAGUUAAUGUAUGCUGUUCUGGAAAUUUUCUGCAGUGAGGACUUGCAGAGGAAUUGUAGCAGCAUCAGGUUGUUGCUUCUUGUCUUCAAAUCUCUUGACUGCUUUAAAUUGCCUUGCUUCUCCUUUGAUCAGAAGAACGACGUGCAGGUCUUCAGCCUCUUGCAAGGUCGCUCUCAUAUACAGACGUUCCACUGGGGGAAGAAAGCUCUUGACAUCUGUAACGUUAGGCAGAAAACAUGCUGCAGGUUGCAAUUUAGGUUUUAAGAGAAACCAGAGCCUGAUCUGACUUCUUGCUUUCUCUGUGCUGUAUGCCUGGCCCAGAGUUAUGGCUUGGGGUGACUUAGAUGAGUGUUAUCAGGCUGCCAAAUCUCAGUGGUCAUGGGCUGGCUUUUGAAGUCUGAGUGCUGUAAUCAACAUAGCUCGGAUAACUCUUGUCUUAUUGAACCCCAUUUCUGGAUCACCUUUGGAAAAUGUGUCCACUGUAUGAGAAGGAAGCUGGCCCUUACAGAUGCUCUGCAUCUUUGUAAAGAAUUUUAGGGAUAUGUUAGUGUUUGCUUAUCUCACAAGUGGUUUAUCCCUGCCUUAAUGACAGAAAUGAGGCUACUUGAUAUCUGGAUCUUGGACGUGGUUAGGUUGCUGCAUUUAGCAGUUAUGACUUAGUUUACUUUACUGGGGUAACCAAUUUAUUAUGACAACUGACUGUUAAAAUGAGUCCUUAAUAAACAAAGUAUUGUAACUUCAAGCAGAGUUGCAAUGUACUGUGACUUCUGCAUCUCUGACCUAUUUUGCCCCGCUGGCUCCGAAAUAGAGAUAUUUUCAAAGGAAAGGUGUGUCAACUGGCAAGGAAUUCUGUCCUGUGUGUCCAUUUGUUAUUUUGUUAAACUGUUAACUUCAUCUCCUUUUUGAUGUUUGACAUUGGAACGAACAUUCUGGGAAUCCAGUUGGAAUGAUGAGAACCUCACCGUGCUGCCUGUCCAUUCCAGAGCAGCUGCUUCACUGACAACAGUUUUGGCAGAGUCAGAGAAUCAGUUUUUAAAAAAUUUAAAUUA